rnacentral:misc_RNA from 1 species
AAAAAAAAGAUAUGUGAUAUCUGGGGCUAUCAGCUAGAGCUGAUAGAGCAAAAACAGACAAUGGAAUCAUUGAAAGCAAAGAAUGUCAAAGCAUAACACAUCAACUACACUACAAGUAUGGAGGCGAAUGGAGGUACUUGGAGUGAUAGCUAUGGUGGUGGGAGACGUCAACACUCCCAUGGCUAUGCUGGAGGGACCUGAACAAUUCAAGGAAAGUUAGUUCUCAUCUGGCCAGCAUGUAGGUUGG